rnacentral:lncRNA from 1 species
UUCGGCCUCAACAUCACCGACUUUCCCACUAGGUCUAACUCAGGCAUAAUAGAAAGAAUAAGCUGUAUAGUAACCAAUCUAUAACAUGAUGCUAAUAUGCCUGAACAAUAAGCAAGAAGUAUGCUCAACAUUAAAUAAAUGCAGAUUAUGCAAAUUCUUUCAUUCUUUGACUUUACUUUGUACUUUGUUCUUUAUUCUUUGCUCUUUGUUCUUUGUUCUUUAAUCAUUAAGGCUAACCCGGGGGCUUCGCCACAUUAACUUGCUUCACAUUAAGUCCAUCAUCGCAGGAACUCACCAGCUAGGACCGUCCUUCGGGUUUACUCCAACCCGUGAUGCAUAACUCCGGAGUGCAUCGCCCGAGGGGGAGCGACCGCCCUCGAGC